CAAUACCAAGUAAAGACUGCAAAUGACUGUGCCACAGGGAGGAAAAGCAGUCAACCUGUCUUUAGGGACCUGUUCAAAUUUCUGGUGUCUCAGUGGAUGUUGAUUUCUGACAUAAAGCCAUUUGUGCACAUGAGGAAGAUACUGUAGGAGGCAUUUGCUGUGAGCCAGUGUUUGGUCUUUAGCUGAAACAGACAUUUAGCCAUAAACCACCAACCAGAAAGAUCAAUAAGACACGGUUCCUCUUCUGGUGGGCCACAUAAAGGAAGUUGUCAUGUUCCAACUUAAUGUGUGGGUUGAGAGGGAUCUGCACAAACGAGCGUCAUCGGGGAGAAAAAUAUAUCCCAGUCUGCGUGGUCACGGGGAGCUUCCUGGGCAAGCAACAUCUAGACUGGUGUUUGACCAAACUACUGGGCACCAUACCCCAGCCAAGUCAGCAUAUAAUGUGAACCAUCACAGUGGGAGACAUGUCACAAAGUGGUAAGACAGCAAGAAUUGGUGGUCUGGGCUGGAUUCCAGAGAACCUGGACUGUGCCUAUGAAGCACCACUGCCCUGUAGACCUGGGAUAAUAAACACUGAUGCCUAAAGGGACCAGGCAGGUAAGAUAAAUGAGUGAACUGAGACCUGCUUAUAGUUGUU
rnacentral:lncRNA from 10 species